GGCCGGACCGCCUCGUGCUGCUCCCCGUCGCCGUCCGUCCAUGGCGGCGGCGGCAGCCUCCCCCUCACCCUCCGCGUCCUCCAAGCCCCGUCUCACAUCUCAGCACAGCCACGGCCACCGCGGAGGAUGAUUGAUCAUUCCCCUCCAUUCUCCCCCAAAUCUCUACUCCUCGUCGGGCGCAGCAGGCCGUCCAUGGGCGGCAUCGAGGCAUCCAGCCAGGCCUUCCCGCCAGGACGAGGAUGUAAGGAAUGUUUAGACAGUGCACCAAAAGGAAGUUGAGAAAUUUAGACAGUUGCUAUCGGGAAUUUUCACUGAGCUUACCAGCUUUGAUGAGCAGCAGUAGGCACAAAGUGGUGCUUCUGGCUUAUCAGCUAUGUAGCACGAGUGGUUCUGCAAGUGCCGCGUGGAAGGCCAAAGAAUUGACUGAACUAAGGGCCGCCGGCAGAAUUGACUGCUUCAGAAACAUCUCUACGAGUGGCUGAGACGCGCAGAGAGGAAGGCCAGACAAGAGUCAUCUAUAUUGGCUGCUUUAAGUUUCACUCUCUUGUGGUCCCUCUUCGUCUGCGCUAUGGAGGUGGUGGAGGGGAAGCAACGCGCAGAGAGGAAGGCCAGACAAUAGUCGAUGAUGUGCAUUAGAUCUUCUUGCAUCAGAUCUUGAAAGCAAGGAAGGAAGCCAUCCAGGCACCUUCAUGCGUGCUUCCGUCUUUCAGAUCUUGGGGUGUUUGCCCAGCAGAACAUGUUGGUAGGCUAAAGAGCUGCCACUGAAGACAGUGAGAGAGGUGGGUAACCCCCCUCAACUGUGUGAUUUCCUACAGAAUAUGAAUAUUUUAUUGUUACUAUUUAACUUGUGAGUUUUGUUUAUUGCUUCUUAAAAAACCCUUCUGAUGCACUGGUACUAGCACAUUUUUUUCCAAACAUGUUUUUUUCAAGGUCAUAGAGCAUUGUCCUACCUUUGUAGUUAAUAAAUUAAAAUCAAGAGUAACUCGACUGUGUGACUCAGGACGAUACAUUUUAUCAUGUUACGCCUUUCUAAAUAUUUUAUUCUAACUUGUACCUUUUCUCCAAAGUUCUGUGCUGUUGGUUCAACAUGUGGAGUUCCGUUAUGUACUGUUGUUUCUGUCCUUAACAGAUGGCUGGUAGGGAGGAUGGAGAUUAAGAUGGGUUUCUGUUAUGUUCUAUUAAGAUGGUUUUUCUUAGCAGACUGUGGAUUAGAACUCACUGCUCUGUUAUUGAGGAUGUAAGAAAUUUUGUUGUAGUGCACGAAAGGAAGUCGAGAAAAUGAGACUGUUGUUGGGAGUUUUCAGCGGGCUUACCAACUUUGACAAGUUAAAACAUGUUAUGUUAUUAACGUGCUCACGGUCUACUGUACUUCACUAAAUUAAAAAAAAAAGGGCAACCUGGUGCAUGUAGCUCCUGCUUGCGCAGGGUUCAGGGAAGGGUCCGACCACUUUGGGUCUAUAGUACGCAGCCUUUCCCUACAUUUCUCAUUUCUGUAAGAGGCUGUUUCCAGGACUUGAACCCAUGACCUUAUGGUCACAAGGCAGCAGCUUUACCACUGCGCCAAGGCUCCCCUUCUCUAUACUUCACUAAAUUGACUUGUCUUAAUUUCUUUUGACUCUUUCUAGUAAAUUCGUUU